rnacentral:rRNA from 1 species
ACCGGCGGCUCGAGUGGUAACCGCUAUUAUUGGGUCUAAAGGGUCUGUAGCCGGCUGGUUAAGUCUCUUGGGAAAUCUGGCCUCUUAAGGGUCAGGCUGCCAGGAGAUACUGACUGGCUUGGGACCGGGAGAGGUGAGAGGUACCUCAGGGGUAGGGGUGAAAUCUUGUAAUCCUUGAGGGACCACCAGUGGCGAAGGCGUCUCACCAGAACGGAUCCGACGGCAAGGGACGAAAGCUAGGGGCACGAACCG